AUGAACGCUAGCUACAGGCUUAACACAUGCAAGUCGAGGGGCAGCAUGGUCUUAGCUUGCUAAGGCCGAUGGCGACCGGCGCACGGGUGAGUAACACGUAUCCAACCUGCCGUCUACUCUUGGACAGCCUUCUGAAAGGAAGAUUAAUACAAGAUGGCAUCAUGAGUCCACAUGUUCACAUGAUUAAAGGUAUUCCGGUAGACGAUGGGGAUGCGUUCCAUUAGAUAGUAGGCGGGGUAACGGCCCACCUAGUCUUCGAUGGGUAGGGGUUCUGAGAGGAAGGUCCCCCACAUUGGAACUGAGACACGGUCCAAACUCCUACGGGAGGCAGCAGUGAGGAAUAUUGGUCAAUGGGCGAGAGCCUGAACCAGCCAAGUAGCGUGAAGGAUGACUGCCCUAUGGGUUGUAAACUUCUUUUAUAAAGGAAUAAAGUCGGGUAUGGAUACCCGUUUGCAUGUACUUUAUGAAUAAGGAUCGGCUAACUCCGUGCCAGCAGCCGCGGUAAUACGGAGGAUCCGAGCGUUAUCCGGAUUUAUUGGGUUUAAAGGGAGCGUAGAUGGAUGUUUAAGUCAGUUGUGAAAGUUUGCGGCUCAACCGUAAAAUUGCAGUUGAUACUGGAUAUCUUGAGUGCAGUUGAGGCAGGCGGAAUUCGUGGUGUAGCGGUGAAAUGCUUAGAUAUCACGAAGAACUCCGAUUGCGAAGGCAGCCUGCUAAGCUGCAACUGACAUUGAGGCUCGAAAGUGUGGGUAUCAAACAGGAUUAGAUACCCUGGUAGUCCACACGGUAAACGAUGAAUACUCGCUGUUUGCGAUAUACUGCAAGCGGCCAAGCGAAAGCGUUAAGUAUUCCACCUGGGGAGUACGCCGGCAACGGUGAAACUCAAAGGAAUUGACGGGGGCCCGCACAAGCGGAGGAACAUGUGGUUUAAUUCGAUGAUACGCGAGGAACCUUACCCGGGCUUAAAUUGCAGAUGAAUUACGGUGAAAGCCGUAAGCCGCAAGGCAUCUGUGAAGGUGCUGCAUGGUUGUCGUCAGCUCGUGCCGUGAGGUGUCGGCUUAAGUGCCAUAACGAGCGCAACCCUUGUUGUCAGUUACUAACAGGUUCCGCUGAGGACUCUGACAAGACUGCCAUCGUAAGAUGUGAGGAAGGUGGGGAUGACGUCAAAUCAGCACGGCCCUUACGUCCGGGGCUACACACGUGUUACAAUGGGGGGUACAGAGGGCCGCUACCACGCGAGUGGAUGCCAAUCCCCAAAACCUCUCUCAGUUCGGACUGGAGUCUGCAACCCGACUCCACGAAGCUGGAUUCGCUAGUAAUCGCGCAUCAGCCACGGCGCGGUGAAUACGUUCCCGGGCCUUGUACACACCGCCCGUCAAGCCAUGGGAGCCGGGGGUACCUGAAGUGCGUAACCGCGAGGAGCGCCCUAGGGUAAAACUGGUGACUGGGGCU
rnacentral:rRNA from 1 species